rnacentral:rRNA from 1 species
AACGAACGCUGGCGGCAGGCCUAACACAUGCAAGUCGAACGCCCCGCAAGGGGAGUGGCAGACGGGUGAGUAACGCGUGGGAACGUGCCCUUUGGUUCGGAACAACUCCGGGAAACUGGAGCUAAUACCGGAUGAGCCCGAGAGGGGAAAGAUUUAUCGCCAAAGGAUCGGCCCGCGUCGGAUUAGCUAGUUGGUGGGGUAAAAGCCCACCAAGGCGACGAUCCGUAGCUGGUCUGAGAGGACGACCAGCCACACUGGGACUGAGACACGGCCCAGACUCCUACGGGAGGCAGCAGUGGGGAAUCUUGGACAAUGGGCGCAAGCCUGAUCCAGCCAUGCCGCGUGGAUGAUGAAGGCCUUAGGGUUGUAAAAUCCUUUCGUCGGGGACGAUAAUGACGGUACCCGAAGAAGAAGCUCCGGCUAACUUCGUGCCAGCCGCCGCAGUAAUAC